rnacentral:rRNA from 1 species
AGACUUGAGACCGGGAGAGGUUAGAGGUACGUCCCAGGGUAGAGGUGAAAUUCUGUAAUCCUGGGAGGACCGCCUGUUGCGAAGGCGUCUAGCUGGAACGGUUCUGACGGUGAGGGACGAAAGUUAGGGGCGCGAACCGGAUUAGAUACCCGGGUAGUCCUAACUGUAAACGAUGCGGACUUGGUGCUGGGUGGCUUUGAGCUGCUUCAGUGCCGAAGGGAGGCUGUUAAGUCCGCCGCCUGGGAAGUACGGUCGCAAGACUGAAACUUAAGGAAUUGGCGGGGGAGCACCACAACGCGUGGAGCCUGCGGUUUAAUUGGAUUCAACGCCGGACAUCUCACCAGAGGCGACAGCUGUAUGAUAGCCAGGUUGAUGACUUUGCUUGACUAGCUGAGGAGUGGUGCAUGG